UGGCUGGCCAUUUCUACCACCAAUAGUUGUCACUAUUAUGUGGCCUGUCUCAGUCCCAUUACCGUCAACAAUUGCUGCUUCCAUUUCCUUAUCAUCCCUGAUUCUCAUGUCAUUCAUCUCCUCAGGCAACCUAUCUACCCCAGCAUUAUGGCCACUGGAUUCUCUCAAACCCGAUGUAGGUGCUAAGCCCACGGAAGCCAUUUCCAAGAAAAGUCUGCUUACUAGUUAUCACCACAAAAGGUCAUUCACCGAAAGAAUCAAAAUGUUGAGGAGACGGAGAAAAACACCGAUCACCGGCGGUCCUCCGAUAAAAAUUGUGGCGGAGAUGAUACCAUCACCAUGAGAGAGAAAAAGAGAUACAAAGAGAGAAAGAAGAACCUGA
rnacentral:misc_RNA from 1 species